rnacentral:rRNA from 1 species
UACGUAGGCAGCGAGCGUUGUUCGGAGUUACUGGGCGUAAAGGGUGUGUAGGCGGCUGUUUAAGUUUGGUGUGAAAUCUCCCGGCUCAACUGGGAGGGUGCGCCGAAUACUGAAUGACUUGGAGUGCAGGAGAGGAGAGUGGAAUUCCUGGUGUAGCGGUGAAAUGCGUAGAUAUCAGGAGGAACACCGGUGGUGUAGACGGCUCUCUGGACCGUAACUGACGCUGAGACACGAAAGCGUGGGUAGCAAACAGG